GGGUGAGUAACACGUGGGUAACCUGCCUGUAAGACUGGGAUAACUCCGGGAAACCGGGGCUAAUACCGGAUGGUUGUUUGAACCGCAUGGUUCAAACAUAAAAGGUGGCUUCGGCUACCACUUACAGAUGGACCCGCGGCGCAUUAGCUAGUUGGUGAGGUAACGGCUCACCAAGGCAACGAUGCGUAGCCGACCUGAGAGGGUGAUCGGCCACACUGGGACUGAGACACGGCCCAGACUCCUACGGGAGGCAGCAGUAGGGAAUCUUCCGCAAUGGACGAAAGUCUGACGGAGCAACGCCGCGUGAGUGAUGAAGGUUUUCGGAUCGUAAAGCUCUGUUGUUAGGGAAGAACAAGUACCGUUCGAAUAGGGCGGUACCUUGACGGUACCUAACCAGAAAGCCACGGCUAACUACGUGCCAGCAGCCGCGGUAAUACGUAGGUGGCAAGCGUUGUCCGGAAUUAUUGGGCGUAAAGGGCUCGCAGGCGGUUUCUUAAGUCUGAUGUGAAAGCCCCCGGCUCAACCGGGGAGGGUC
rnacentral:rRNA from 1 species